UACAGAGGUCCCAAGCGUUGUUCGGAUUCACUGGGCGUAAAGGAUGCGUAGGUGGCGAGGUAAGUCGGAUGUGAAAUCUCCGAGCUCAACUCGGAAAUGGCAUUGGAAACUACCUUGCUCGAGGGUUGGAGGGGGGACUGGAAUACUUGGUGUAGCAGUGAAAUGCGUAGAUAUCAAGUGGAACACCAGUGGCGAAGGCGAGUCCCUGGACAACUCCUGACACUGAGGCACGAAAGCUAGGGGAGCAAACAGG
rnacentral:rRNA from 1 species